UUUCCGUAGGUGAACCUGCGGAAGGAUCAUUACAGAGUUCAUGCCCUCACGGGUAGAUCUCCCACCCUUGAAUAUUUAUACCUUAGCUGCUUUGGCAGGCCGUGGAAACACCAUGGGCUCCGGCUUAUGCGUGCCUGACAGAGGAAACAAACUCUGUUUUUAGUGAUGUCUGAGUACUAUAUAAUAGUUAAAACUUUCAACAACGGAUCUCUUGGUUCUG
rnacentral:misc_RNA from 1 species